CAGAGACUGCAAGCGUUAUUCGGAUUCACUGGGCGUAAAGGGUGCGCAGGCGGCCAAGUGUGUCAGGUGUGAAAUCCCGAGGCUUAACCUCGGAACUGCGCCUGAAACUACUUGGCUAGAGUACUGGAGAGGGUAACGGAAUUCACGGUGUAGCAGUGAAAUGCGUAGAUAUCGUGAGGAACACCAGAGGCGAAGGCGGUUACCUGGACAGUUACUGACGCUCAGGCACGAAAGCGUGGGGAGCAAAAGGGAUUAGAUACCCCUGUAGUCCACGCCCUAAACGGUGCACACUAGGUCUUGGCGGAUUCGAUCCCACAGGGCCCAAGCUAACGCGUUAAGUGUGCCGCCUGAGGACUACGGUCGCAAGACUA
rnacentral:rRNA from 1 species